UUUUUGUGACAGUAUGUGGGGUCAAAAUGUGGAAUGCUCUGGAUCUACAGCGAAAGCUUUGCCCAAAUAUUCACAAAUUUAAGUCCUUGUAUAAAAAUGCAGUUUGGUCAGAAUACAGUCAUAGUAGAGUUAUAGAGUAGAGAGAGUGUA